rnacentral:rRNA from 1 species
UGCGUAGGCGUCCAGGAAAGUUAUUUGUUAAAGCCUCCGGCUUAACCUGGGAACUGCAUUUGAAACUGUUUAGCUAGAGUGAGUGAGAGGUUAGUGGAAUUCAAGGCGUAGCGGUGAAAUGCGUAGAGGUCUUGAGGAACAUCAGUGGCGAAGGCGACUAACUGGCACUACACUGACGCUGAGGUACGAAAGCGUGGGGAGCGAACAGGAUUAGAUACCCUGGUAGUC